rnacentral:lncRNA from 1 species
AUUUCAUUGAGAACAUUGAUGGAAAUAAGAUUGCAGAAUUAGAAAAUGAAUUAGUGUUUUUGCAUUCAAGUGUUAUGUCGCAAAAUUCUGUAAAUAAAUUGUCCGAACAUAUAAAUGAAAUACUUUUGGAAUCAGCAGAAAAGGUACUAGGUACCAUUACUUAUAACACGAAGGUUAAAAAGAACACAAAGGAAAGCAAACCAUGGUUUGACAAAAAAUGCUGGGAGCAAAGAAAGUGCUCACGAAUUGCAAAACGACGAUAUAAAAACAACAAAACAACAGAUAAUCAAGUUCAAAUGAAAGAUGCAGAGAGAAAGUAUAAAAAGCAGAUGG